UACGAAGGGGGCUAGCGUUGUUCGGCUUUACUGGGCGUAAAGCGCAUGUAGGCGGGUCGUUAAGUCGGUGGUGAAAGCCCAGAGCUCAACUCCGGAACUGCCUUCGAUACUGGCGACCUGGAGCAAGUCAGAGGUGAGUGGAAUUGCGAGUGUAGAGGUGAUAUUCGUAGAUAUUCGCAGGAACACCAGUGGCGAAGGCGACUCGCUGGGACUUUGCUGACGCUGAGAUGCGAAAGCGUGGGGAGCAAACAGG
rnacentral:rRNA from 1 species